CAACACUGAAGAAAGAAAGCAAGCAUGAAAAAAAAAAGCAUGGGCUAUGCAAACAAUUUCUCCUCAUACAGGUCAUUGAUGCCAUGAGUCAGAAGAGGAAAAUGGAACUCAGGAUGCCAGGCAAACAUUAAAAUUACUCACAAAUGACUUGGAAAUUACCCUGUUAAAGAGGAAUGGACUGAAGACUGAGUGGAGAAGAAUGGAGAAUGGACAAAGUCUCCACAGAUUGCCUGCACAUAGCUCUGGGAAGAUGAAACUCAUUUUGGUCAAGUUCCUCUGCCAGAGUCAAACUACUGACAUUUUGAAAAACUGUUCCUUUCAUGAGAUAGUGGAAAGCAGAAAUAUUGGAGGUGUAGUGCUUGUGACCAAAAACUCUGUUCAGGCUGAUUCCCUGUACUUUAAACUAUGCAGAUCACUUUUGUUUGGGAAACUGAAGAGGCUGAAUGAGGAAAGGGGUCGUGUCAACGCACUCCUGGCAGUGUCACUAAAAGAGUAAUUUCUUUCUUCUUGGACUCAUCCACAGCAAGGAAUAAGCCUCAGAACUGCCAGUGAAAAAGCAAAAGCAAACCCUUCAGUCAUUGGAAUUUAAUUUUUAUUAGAGAGAACAAUGGAAAAGAAAAAAGAAAAAAAAAGAAUAAGAUAAAAAGAAAUUUCAACCUGAUGUCUACAUAAUUCUAAUAUAAAAUGCAACUGAUGUGAAUUGCAAAGAAGACCUCACAAACUUAUGAUUAUCAUUUGGGGAAGGAAGUGAGAAAGGCAUGACAUUAAUGCUUAAUUUUUUUAGUUAUUUGAUUCCCAGUACUGCAUACUGGGAUAAAAGGCCAAAAUGUAUGUGAGAAAAGUAUCAUACAGUGACAAUUCAUGAAGGAGAAGCAAGCAUACUUCUCCUCUAGGAAAGGCAUAAAGGAUAUUAUUUUUUUGUAUAAAAUGAUGAAAUUUAACAGUAGGAAUCUGGUUAAAUUGGUGCAGGUUUUCAACAUACACAGACAAGUUAUGGGAGUGGAGUCUUUGGAUUUAAAAUACUCUGUUGAUAAAAGAAUAAAUUAUUGAAUUUGAGAAUCCCUUACCGAUAU
rnacentral:lncRNA from 1 species